UGGCGGCGUGCCGUAAUACAUGCAAGUCGAACGGUCUUUCUAUGGAAGCUUGCUUCCACUGAGAGGAUAGUGGCGAACGGGUGAGUAACACGUGGGUAACCCUGCCCAUAAGAGGGGGGAGUAACAUCCGGAAACGGGUGCUAAUACCGCAUAGUUUCUUGAUCGCAUGAUUGAGAAAGGAAAGACGGCCUUUGUGCUGUCGCUUAUGGAUGGACCCGCGGCGUAUUAGUUAGUUGGUGAGGUAACGGCUCACCAAGACGAUGAUACGUAGCCGACCUGAGAGGGUGAUCGGCCACAUUGGGACUGAGACACGGCCCAAACUCCUACGGGAGGCAGCAGUAGGGAAUCUUCCGCAAUGGACGAAAGUCUGACGGAGCAACGCCGCGUGAGUGAAGAAAGGUUUUCGGAUCGUAAAACUCUGUUGUCAGAGAAGAACAGGUUGGAGAGUAACUGCUCCAGCCUUGACGGUAUCUGACCAGAAAGCCACGGCUAACUACGUGCCAGCCGCCGC
rnacentral:rRNA from 1 species